GUACACGGAGGCAGCAUGGGGAAAGGCAUUGAAGGGCGGGACCCCGGAGCCGACUUGCUGCAGAUCCAAAAAGGCGGAGCUAGAUAAAGAGGAAGGGGUGGAGCUAGAACUGGACACCUCGGGGGUUUCCUGCUUUAUGGCGAAGGGCCAGGGCCCCACACCUUCCGCCUGACAGCCAGCCAAGCUCUUCAGUCCCCCGCCCUCCACCUGCCAGGGAGGCUCCGGGCGUUGUACCUGCCACCACGGGGUAGGUCUGACGGAGUUUUGCUCUUGUUGCCCAAGCUGGAGUGCAAUGGUGCGAUCUUCGCUUACUGCAACCUCUGCUUCCUGGGUUCAAGUGAUUCCCCUGCCUCAGCCUCCCGAGUAGCAGGGAUUACAGUCUUCAAAUAAGUGUUUACGUAGAAGCACCAUAUCUGAAACAGGUGACAGUGGACCAGUCUGAAUGAAAUGAGGGUUGGCAGGCCUGAGCUCCAAAACCUUCUGAUUGCCCAAGCCCUCCUUGUCUUGCUUGGAUUAUCUCCACACAAAUGGAGAAACUGGACAAGGUGGUCAUGGAGGUCCCUGAAAGCUCAAAGACUUUCUCAUUCCAGGAUUCCCCAUGUUCAUAUGCCAGCAUGGCAUGGGGGUGCUCUGUAGUCAAGCAGGGUCCUUUGGGGGGCUUAGGGAUGGAGCCAGGAAAUGGCUCUGGGACUCAGCGGGUGUCCAGAGUCUCAUCAGCAGGGUUUCUUUACUUUCACUGAGUGGCUGGUGCCUGCACACUGAGUUUUGCAGGCUUACUCUCACAGAGUGAGCUUCCUGCAGGCCCCCCACUGCAACCCCUUUCCUUCCUGGAGCUGUGUGCUGACUGGUGCGUGAGCACCCCAGGCCCUCUCCCCAUGCUGCUGAUGGUCAGCUUUCUCUGCACGCUCGUGGUUGCCACAGUCAACGCUGAUAAAAUUGCUGAUGCAGAUUGCCUGCCCAGCUGCGAGUGCUGGCACGGGACCAGCAGCCCAGACGGUCACUGGAAGUGGUUGGGCUGAUUAUUGGCAUCAUCUCCAUUGUCCUACUCGGUUCUUAAAGGCAUAUGGACUUGCCUCACUCCUACAGCAAAUGACGGCAUGGGCAAAGAGGGGCAACAGACCCACCCUGAAGACACUCCUCAUCUGGUUGACUUGGCAGGGUUAAGGGAAAAAGAUGUGAUGACUAGGAGCUGAGAGCUUAGUGGUUCUGCCAGAGCUGCAGAGUCUUUGUUGGCCUCAGGGUGGGACCUCUCACAUCUCUGUCAGCUUUUCACGGACACCAACCUGUUAUGAUUCAUUUCACCUGUCCUGAGCACUAGCAAGAAAAAUUCGCUGUAGCUUGUGAUGUAUUAUUCUGGAUUUCUCAACUCAUUCAUUUGUUCAUUCAUUCACUAUACCAUUACUGUCUAUUAUAAGGGGGGCACAAUGGUAGGUGCUGGGAAUAAAAACGAUGUUUAACGUUUCAUGAGGCUUCCCUGUCCUUAAGGAGUCCGCGUGUCUUUGUACCUGUCUGUCUGCUAGAUUAUUAAGUGACACUGUGAGAAGCUACUGAGAGCAGCAUGUGGGACAUGCAGAAGGGCAAGAGGCAGGAGAGAUGAUUCAUGUCGGAGGGGCAGGGGAGGACUGACGGAGAGGGUGAUGUUUGGCUGAGUCAUGAAGGCUAGUGGUAUUUUUCCAUGCAGAGAAGUGGGAGGAAAGGCAUUCUGUGUGGAGGGCACACAGUGUGCAAGGGCAGAGAGGUGUGAGCGAGGGUGGUGAGCUCGGGGCCAUGAGUAAUGCAAGAGCAUGGGGUGUGCAGGAUGAGUGGCCAAAGGUGGGGCUAGGAAAUAGUGGCUGAGGUCAUUAUGUGAAGGCUUUGUGCUACUGCUUCAGAGUUGUGGAACGUGAUGUUGCAAUCUGGGAAAGACGCUGAUGGCAAGGGAUAGCAUCAUCAGGUUGUGCUGCCAUCCCUGAAAGGCCCAGGCUCAAAGGUUUUGGGUGAAGGAAGCCAGGAGGGUUAGAAAGGGAGGAAGAUGCCAGGGCAUCUGGUAAAAUAAAGCAUGUGUCAGGCUUGGAGUUGCAUAAGGCAGGUGCCCUGAGCCCAUUGAUGCAACUUCCAGCUGCUUUGAUGGAGCACAGGCUCAUUUGGAGAAUAGACCUUCUCUGGCCCUUGCCCACCCUGUUCACCUCCCAGGGCCCAGCUUCUCACCUGCUCGCCUUUGGUGUGGCUGGGGGAGGCAUAGGCCUCUGGGUAGUGCUGCCGCUCAAAUGGGCACUCGAGCGGCUCGAGGUGGUGCUGGCUGAAGGCAUCCGUGCGAAGGUGCUUUCGGGGUCCGCUGCUGCUGCUCUGUGAGUCAAUGCUUAGUCGGCAGCUAUCCUGAUCACCUGGUACCCCCCGGGAAGGAAGAAAGCUUUUAGGGGACCUAUCUAUUCAUGCUCUAGGCCAAAGUAGAGGACUGACUCCAAGCUGACUCACUGUGGAGGGAGAAAAAGGGCCAGCCACGUGGGCCCAGGAGCCUUGGCCAACUGAGGGACAGGACAUGUGACAGUCACAUGCAGAGCCCCUACAAAGUCCCAUAUCAUAAGUGGAAGGGUUUCUGUCCCCAUCAAAGCCUGAGCAAACUGCUCUCGUGCACCGCCCGCUGCCCUCCUGUCCCAGCACUCACUGUCAUCCAUUUUCCUCUUGUCGCUGCCAGGCUGAGCGAUGCCCAGGAGCCCAUUGAUGGAGUAGGUGGAGCCCAGGGAAUCCGACUGGGGUGACUCCGGGGGAGUUACAGCUGAGCUGGG
rnacentral:lncRNA from 1 species